CAAGUCCUCUGCUUCUACGCAGUUCAGAGUAUGGAUGUGAAGCUGGAGUAACCCAGGAAAAUACAACUAAUGAUGCAUUCCCAAGCUUUGGCAGCAACAGAGGCCAUUUUUGAGCGACAUAUUGACAAAAUCAAAGGCCCAGCAUCCUGGAACACUGGCCUGCUUCAUGAGCUGGAUCACUCAUGGAAUAUGACAGCAUCACAUGUCCUGGAAGACCGUGUUUUGCUGUAGCACAUCUGUCAAAUAAACAAGUGAGACUGGGAGUAAAAGA